CGUUCCCCCUUCUUUUCCGAUGUGGAGCCCUAAUUCUUAGAAGAAGGAAAUUACUACUGUCGCGACUGGAAGGCCAACGAACGGCUGAGCUUCGCCCGUCUUUGCCUUGAAUCCAUACUCGAGAAGGAGAGAAAGGAAAACGAGCCCUAAUUCUUUUCUACUCCCGCUGUCAUGGUUCGGCUGCCACCUCCGCCGUCUGUGGAAGACCGGCGAUUCAGCGGCGCCGCUCCAUUCACGACGCCGCUACUGCUGCUACACGAUCCCCUCCGAGGCAGCAAGCGCUGCCGUCAUCAUCGUCGUCUUGGCUCGACUGAACAGGGUCGCGUCCCUCGUCGUCGAAAAGUGACAGUAACAAUGCUAGAUAAGUGAGCAAGAGUUUCUACAUCGUUAAGUAUAUCAGGUGGGCUUACUAACUCAAGAAGUAAAGAUGCAUACUUUAUUAUAUAAAGUUUGAGUGUAUGCAUUUAUUUUCCAAUUAUUGACUUGCCAAUAUUUGAGAUUUGUAUGAUACCAUCUACAUAGAACAACGAAUUCGGGUCCUGAGCGAGUCAGGAUUUGUGUACACAGAGUUGACAGUUAACCUUUGAGUUAGCUUGUCAUCGUGUUUGAGAAGGAGGCCUACUUCUCAACACUCAGAGUUAUAUGAUGCGUAGAUAUGGUACAUACAUGUUAAUGUCUGCAGACAUAUAUGAUGUUAUGAUGAUUAUAGAGAAGUUUUACAGAUUUUGCGUGCACAGGUUAUUUAAGUAAAACUCCUGUGUGAUGCUUGAGAUGACAAGUUCAAUAUAUAGCUCUAAGAGCAAGCUUUAAAGUUAUUUCGGCAUGACCACUGAGUGCUUUUUGGUACUCAGCCCUGCGUAUGUUUCUAAAUAUGCAGGUUAAGCUGUGAUGUAGAUGGAAGCAAGCAGAGCAAAGCCUUCAGUGUAUAUUAAAUUAGGCUCAGGAUUCCAUGUCUUCAUACAUGUAAUCCACAUGAAUUAUUCCGCUGCAACACUCAGUCUAUUCUACUUUGUUGAUGUGUUGUACAUAUUUUAAAUCAAUAGCUUUGAGAAUUAUAUCACUUGAAAGUUAGACAACUUGUCAUUGUGUAUUGUAAGUUGUCUACUCAUGAGUUUUAAAAGUGAUUGCCUAUGAUUAUACAAUAUUAAAGUAAUUCAUCGUUAAA